rnacentral:tRNA from 3 species
GCGGUAGCUCAGUGGUAGAGCACUCCAUUGGUAAUGGAGAGGUCGAGAGUUCAAUCCUCUCUCGCA